rnacentral:rRNA from 1 species
AAAAACUGAGGUGGUGUAAGAUGGGCCCGCGUCUGAUUAGGUAGUUGGUGGGGUAGAAGCCUACCAAGCCGACGAUCAGUAGCCGACCUGAGAGGGCGACCGGCCACAUUGGGACUGAGACACGGCCCAAACUCCUACGGGAGGCAGCAGUGGGGAAUAUUGCACAAUGGGGGAAACCCUGAUGCAGCGACGCCGCGUGAGUGAGGAAGUAUUUCGGUAUGUAAAGCUCUAUCAGCAGGGAAGAAAAUGACGGUACCUGACUAAGAAGCCCCGGCUAACUACGUGCCAGCGGCCGCGGUAAUACGUAGGGGGCAAGCGUUAUCCGGAUUUACUGGGUGUAAAGGGAGCGUAGACGGACUUGCAAGUCUGAUGUGAAAAUCCGGGGCCCAACCCCGGAACUGCAUUGGAAACUGUAUAUCUAGAGUGUCGGAGAGGCAAGUGGAAUUCCUGGUGUAGCGGUGAAAUGCGUAGAUAUCAGGAGGAACACCAGUGGCGAAGGCGGCUUGCUGGACGAUGACUGACGUUGAGGCUCGAAAGCGUGGGGAGCAAACAGGAUUAGAUACCCUGGUAGUCCACGCCGUAAACGAUGACUACUAGGUGUCGGGAGGCAAAGCCUUUCG